CCAGAGCUGCUGCAUUGGAGGAGGAAAAAAAAAAAAAAAAACGGGCAAAAUCCAAAGUCAUUGAUGAUGACAAUAUAUUUGUCAUCAUUGCAUACCGCAGGGCUAAACCGAAACUUCAAACGGAAACAAGAGCAUGUGACAACUGACCCCAGCUCUCCAGUGGCUGGAGAUGAAGGUAAGAGAGAAAUGGGUUAUAGUGACACGCUCACACACACACACAGACAGACCCUAAAGGAGUAACAUGUUUCAUUUUUCCUUUGUGUCCCUCCCUUGUUUUUCACAGAAGUAAUUUGUCAGGUUUGAUGGCUGUGUGAUGUCUGUGUGUGUGUGUGUGUGUGUGUGUGUGUGUGUGUGUGUGUGUGUCCGUGUGCACCUGAGCCUGUGUGUGAUACUUUAAUUUGACCUUGAUGAAAAACAAGCCUUCAAUAAUUCAGGUCUCUGUUUCCCCAUACGAUGACAACAAUCAGUCACACCGGCACAAAAUCGCACUAAUACACACUACAGAGUUACACACUGAAGCCUUAUUAAAACAAUAUCAAAAGCACUUAGGGCUCUGCAAUUUUGUGCUAUAUCUUGUCCUUUAAAUUUAUUUUCACAGCAUAGUGGUUCACUUAGUAUGUUUCCGAAGGUUUCUCCGCAACAGAAUUUAGAAACAUUUUGGAUUUAGCGCUGGAAAUUUUAAGGGGGGGGGGCAUUUUAACUCAAACCUAUUCUGAUCUAAACCUUUCUUUUGUUGCUAUAGCAGUAUGUUUAAGUUCAUUGUCCUGCUGGAGGGUGAAUGUCUUAGUCUUAAGUCUUUUGCAGCCUAUAACAGUCUUCCUUCCAGGAUUGUCUUGUAUCUUCAUUGAUUUGUCACUGACCACCUUCCUUGUCCCCCCCACUGAGGAAAAGCAUUCCAUCACCAGGCUUAAACAAGUGCUUUCUAGAUCAUUAUUGAUGCAUUAUGAUGCUUAGUGAGGAUUCUCUUAGUCUCUGUGAUAUCUAAAUACAUGUCAGGAUCCAGGGAUGCUGUGUUCAUAUAAACAUUUUCUGGGAUUAUUCAGUCUAGGCUGAAAACUGUAAUCAUUUCUUCUGCUAUUCCAUCCAAACUUUCAGUAAUUACAUUUUUUAAAAGUUAGCUGCUGCAUAGCUUCCGAAACAUCACUUUUAAUGAAUUAGAAAUAUAAUCCAAACUGACUUCAACAAUGUAUUCUCUAUGUCCUGUUUAAAGCAGCGGGUGUUUCAUUUGUAAAAUGAUCGGAUGUGAUGUGAUAUGAUUAUUUCCAGAGGACUGUCUUUAUUAGAAAAUGAUUGGAGUUUGCCGCUGUCUUCCCUCCUUAGGAUAAUCAGCCACAACCACUGUCACAAUAAUGUACAAGCAGAUAUUCUUGCAUUUUAAUUUGUUGCUGUUGGAAAAGAAUUGUCUAUUUUCAUCAAGGAAAACUAUUUUUCCCCUAGCAAUAAAAAUACAAAAGCAUACAGAUAGUUUGUAUCCCUGCUGUCCUCUGGCAAAAGGUUCAGCAGCCUCAAAUGCAGAAAAAAACUAAUUCCACAAAAGCCUCCUCCCUCACGCAAUUAAACUCCCAUUAAUCUUUUUAUUGGACAUUUACAUUGAUGCAUUUUAUUAUUUAUUUAUAUAUUUAAUUAUUUAACUUGUCAUUAUUGGAGCCUUGCAACAAAAUUUCAGUCAAUGUCAAUUUUAAAGUUGAAUGACAAUCAAGUCUGUCUUUGUCUAACAGUGCAAAAGAGAGUUCUUUUUAACAAUAUAUAUGCUUUUAUGGAAAAGUGUAAUCAAAAGUGGUGACGUUAUUUGAACUACACAUACUGAAGCCUUUACUUUGUGAGACUGAAUGCGAAAUGCACUCAGCUGGUAUAAAGUCAAAGGUCAUGACUACAGAGUGUUUCAGAUGGAGCCAUCGUUGUAUUCAUGCGGCCUCUAUUUGUGCCAACACAAUAGGAUGUAGGAGCUGAAUUAUUGAGUCCUUGUUUGUCAUCAAGGUGAAGUUAAAGUGUCUCACACAGACACACACACACACACACACACGUCUUCCUCAUCACACACAAAACCUUUGUAUCCUUUGCUCUGUUUUAAAAGACCCUUAAUCGGGUUGAUCUCUAAGAAUGUUUUAUUUUUUGUAUUUUUAUAGACCAAAUUCUUUUCAGUCCAAAGAACAAGAAAGCUUUGUAUCAGAAUGGACUAAUUAUACCC